rnacentral:rRNA from 1 species
CCUACGGGUGGCAGCAGUGAGGAAUAUUGGUCAAUGGACGAGAGUCUGAACCAGCCAAGUAGCGUGAAGGAUGACUGCCCUAUGGGUUGUAAACUUCUUUUAUAUGGGAAUAAAAUGUUCCACGUGUGGGAUUUUGUAUGUACCAUAUGAAAAAGGAUCGGCUAACUCCGUGCCAGCAGCCGCGGUAAUACGGAGGAUCCGAGCGUUAUCCGGAUUUAUUGGGUUUAAAGGGAGCGUAGGUGGGUUGUUAAGUCAGUUGUGAAAGUUUGCGGCUCAACCGUAAAAUUGCAGUUGAAACUGGCAGUCUUGAGUACAGGAGAAGUGGGCGGAAUGCGUGGUGUAGCGGUGAAAUGCUUAGAUAUCACGAAGAACUCCGAUUGCGAAGGCAGUUCACUGGACUGCAACUGACACUGAGGCUCGAAAGUGUGGGUAUCAAACAGGAUUAGAUACCCGAGUAGUC